GGCGGGAAACGGGAUUUGGACCCCCCUUCAGGACCCUUUCAACAGCUUUUCUGAUGGCGAGGAGACUGGGACUGAAGUACGAGAGCCAUCUGUCACCUGUACAGCGGUUUUCCCUGUUAAUCAACAUGGUGGACAGAAGAAGAAGGGCGAUUUACCACAAAUAACAAAAAGACUGGAAAAGCGGUGCUAUGGAGUCGCUGAUCUACCGGCGACAAUCCUCUGUUUGUGUGAAAUAACAAUGGCGAAAAGUAUGGCUGGGCGUGGCGGGAGUAGUAGGGCUAGGCAGCGGCGGCCUUUGACGGACAGAGGCCGGCAUAGUCUGCAUCAAGAGCAAGGAAUAAUGGCACAGAUGAUGCACUAUAUGUCUGAGGCCAGACUGCGUGGGAAAAUACGAAGAAUUAAUGAAGCUCUUGAGGAGGACCCUGUUGAUGUUCAGACGCUGUGUAACCUGGCCAUGUCAUGUGAUGGCCUGAUAACCAAUGACCUGCGACGGAGAGUCUGGCCAAAACUGCUUAAUGCCAACUCACUUGACAUAUCAGUGACCAAAAAUAAAAAAGGUUCAAGUGAAACAGCUCAAUUUCAGGAGAAUAAAUAUUGGGUUCAAGUCAACCUUGAUGUUGACAGAUCACACAGGCGAUUUCCAAAAGUUCCCUGUAUUGCUCUGUGGAUUGCAUUUGCAGAGAUGCGGGUCUCCAGAAGGAAGGUGCUUCAAAGCCAACUGACAAAUGUUAUCAUGCGGGUGAUAUGUAAACACCAGAAUCUCCAUUACUACCAGGGCUAUCACGAUAUUGCUGUAACACUGUUACUGGUGGUUGGAGAAGACUUGGCAACUGCACUAUUAGAGCAACUGUCGCUUCACCAGCUCAGGGAUUUCAUGGAACCAACCAUGGAGAAGACAAACAAGAUGUUGUCAUUCAUACACCCCAUCAUACAGGAAGCAGACCCUGAACUUGAAGACUUCCUUAUAAGGUCUGAGGUUGGUCAAAUGUUUGCUCUCAGCUGGCUCAUAACUUGGUAUGGACACGUCAUCCAGGACUUUGACACCAUUGUCCGGUUGUAUGAUUUUUUCCUGGCGACACAUCCACUGAUGCCCGUUUAUCUUGCUGCAGCGCUGGUAAUACAUCGUCGCGAUGAUGUGUUGCUAGGCGAAUGUGACAUGGCGUUUGUGCAUCAUUCACUCUCCAAGAUUCCAAGUGACUUCUCUUCACGAGUGGAGGAACUUAUUACAUCUACCAAGUACCUGUUCGAGAAAUACUCACCAGAAAAGAUGGCCAAGGCAGCCGAACGGCACCUGAAGGAAAGCAUGGCCCUCGCCCAACACACACAGUUCCUGUAUGACUUAUCAGACCAGAGACCUGACUCAAUCCUUCGUAGACGCCGCCAACAGAAUUCACAGCUACAUGCAUACCAAGGGGGUGAACCUGUUCUAAGGGACUCCACCAAUCCUUACGUUAAGCUUGCCGUAUGGACGUUAACGGCCUCUCUCGGAACCGUGGCACUUUAUGUCUUGGGAUCUGCGAAGCGUUGGAUUUGACAUGGUCCAAUAGAAUACCAAGUGUGCGCCACCCCCUAACCCUUACGGCAUAUAUAGUGAGCGGGAUGUCUUAGGAUCUGCGAAACGUUGGAUCUGACAUCGUCGAAACGAUGUAUCUGACAGAAUACCAAGUGUGCGCCAUCACCUAACGCUUUAGCUCUAGUGUCCAAACUACAACAGAUAUGAGUGCACUUUUUAAUAUUCUGCAAGCGGUCGAGAAUCGCCAUCUGGCUUCCGUCAUUCAAACUCCUUGAAGCGGAUUCCCUGCCAGCAAGCCGACGAAUCGCCAUCUGGCUUCUGUUAUUCAAACUCCUUGAAGCGGAUUCCUUGCCAUCAAGCCGACGAAUCGCCAUCUGGCUUCCGUCAUUCAAACUCCUUGAAGCGGAUUCCUUGCCAGCAAGCCGACGAAUCGCCAUCUGGCUUCCUUCAUUCAAACUCCUUGAAGCGGAUUCCUUGCCAUCAAUUCGACGAAUCGCCAUCUGGCUUCCGUCAUUCAAACUCCUUGAAGCGGAUUCCUUGCCAUCAAGCCGACGAAUCGCCAUCUGGCUUCCGUCAUUCAAACUCCUUGAAGCGGAUUCCUUGCCAGCAAGCCGACGAAUCGCCAUCUGGCUUCCGUCAUUCAAACUUCUUGAAGCGGAUUCCUUGCCAUCAAGCCGACGAAUCGCCAUCUGGCUUCUGUUAUUCAAACUCCUUGAAGCGGAUUCCUUGCCAUCAAGCCGACGAAUCGCCAUCUGGCUUCCGUCAUUCAAACUCCUUGAAGCGGAUUCCUUGCCAGCAAGCCGACAAAUCGCCAUCUGGCUUCUGUCAUUUAAACUCCUUGAAGCGGAUUCCUUGCCAUCAAGUCGACGAAUCGCCAUCUGGCUUCCGUCAUUCAAACUCCUUGAAGCGGAUUCCUUGCCAGCAAGCCGACGAAUCGCCAUCUGGCUUCCGUCAUUCAAACUCCUUGAAGCGAAUUCCUUGCCAGCAAGCCGACGAAUCGCCAUCUGGCUUCCGUCAUUCAAACUCCUUGAAGCGGAUUCCUUGCCAUCAAGCCGACGAAUCGCCAUCUGGCUUCUGUCAUUCAAACUCCUUGAAGCUGAUUCCUGGCCAUCAAGCCGAUGAAUCGCCAUCUGGCUUCCGUGAUUCAACUCCUUGAAGCGGAUUCCUUUCCAGCAAGCCGACGAAUCGCCAUCUGGCUUCCGUCAUUCAAACUCCUUGAAGCGGAUUCCUUGCCAUCAAGCCGACGAAUCGCCAUCUGGCUUCCGUCAUUCAAACUCCUUGAAGCGGAUUCUUGCCAGCAAGCCAACGAAUCGUUAUCUGGCUUCUGUCAUUCAAACUCCUUGAAGCGGAUUCCUUGCCAUCAAGCCGACGAAUCGCCAUCUGGCUUCUGUCAUUCAAACUGGCCAGCAACUUAAUAGAUUUCUUAACCACGGGCUAAAGGAUAAUCUGACUCCGAAAUGAAGUCUUACGUCUUGUCAGUACCGAAUAAAGCACGUUUUCCUACAUCAA